rnacentral:rRNA from 1 species
AAUGUACGUAGUCUGCGACAUACAGGAAGACCCGCUGAACUGAAGCA